GUGCCUACGGGAGGCAGCAGUGGGGAAUAUUGCACAAUGGGGGAAACCCUGAUGCAGCGACGCCGCGUGAGUGAAGAAGUAAUUCGUUACGUAAAGCUCUAUCAGCAGGGAAGAAACACUGACCUUACGGUCAGCAGACGGUACCUGAGUAAGAAGCCCCGGCUAACUACGUGCCAGCAGCCGCGGUAAUACGUAGGGGGCAAGCGUUAUCCGGAUUUACUGGGUGUAAAGGGAGCGUAGACGGCAUGGCAAGUCUGGAGUGAAAGCCCGGGGCCCAACCCCGGGACUGCUCUGGAAACUGCCAU
rnacentral:rRNA from 1 species